rnacentral:tRNA from 2 species
GCAGAUGUGGUUCAAUGGUUAGAACAUGGCCUUGCCAAGGCUAGGAUGCGGGUUCGAUUCCCGUCAUUUGCUCCA